rnacentral:lncRNA from 1 species
UCUCAUCUAUCAUUCUUAAUCCACAGUUACUCAUGGUUUACAGUCAAACAAAUUUAGUAAUGCAAGUUUGUUCUUCAUAGGGUCUUUACUUUUUUUCCAGGAGCAUUUUAAAAUCAUAUUUGGCAAUAUGAUUGUUUCAUAGUUGUUCUGAAAGAGCAAAACAUGGCUUAUCUUCGUAUCAUGAAUGGCUGAAACACCCCAGUAUCCCAUCACCAAGAGAGUUCAGGCCAGGAAAGUUAAAAAAAAUAAGCUGCAACAGAACAAGACACUGAUACAAUUACUAAAUUCGGUGCUGUCCAAUGGAUUGUUUCUCUGUUCUAUAAAGUCUGGUCUCAUCAGAGCCUGUCCAAAUAGAACCUCAGCCCAACCCAGCAAGAGGAAAGAGUAUAAUACGGGCAUUCAAGAACAAAAGACACUGAAAUGGCACUUUUUGAACCAACAUCUUCACCCAGAGCCUCCAGUUGCUGUUGUUUGCAGGAGCCAGAAGCUGGUAGAUGGUUCAUUUUGCCAGAGGUUCAUAGAUGAAUUCAUAAACUAACAUCAUGGGCAAAGAAAGGUAGGUCUGAGUGAACAUACCUUUUGCAUGUUUUUCACAUUAGUUUUCUCCCAUUGUCCCCAUAGUAACUUCAAUGUCUUUCUUAGCCCCAUUCCUUGAUACAUUGU